rnacentral:rRNA from 1 species
UACGUAGGGGGCAAGCGUUGUCCGGAUUUAUUGGGCGUAAAGAGCGUGUAGGCGGCUUUACAGGUCCGUUGUGAAAACUCGAGGCUCAACCUCGAGACGCCGGUGGAAACCGUAAAGCUAGAGUCCGGGAGGGGCGAGUGGAAUUCCUGGUGUAGCGGUGAAAUGCGCAGAUAUCAGGAGGAACACCAAUGGCGAAGGCAGCUCGCUGGAACGGAACUGACGCUGAGGCGCGAAAGCGUGGGGAGCGAACAGG